GUGGGGAAUCUUAGACAAUGGGGGAAACCCUGAUCUAGCCAUGCCGCGUGAGCGAUGAAGGCCUUAGGGUUGUAAAGCUCUUUCAGCUGGGAAGAUAAUGACGGUACCAGCAGAAGAAGCUCCGGCUAACUUCGUGCCAGCAGCCGCGGUAAUACGAAGGGGGCUAGCGUUGCUCGGAAUUAAUGGGAGGAAAGGGCGCGUAGGCGGACAGCUUAGUCAGAGGUGAAAGCCCAGGGUUAAACUGUGGGAGUGCGUUGGAUACUGGCUUUGUUGAGUUUGGGAGAGGUGAGUAGAGCUCCGAGUGUAGAGGUGAAAUUCUUAGAUAUUCGAAAGAACACCAGUGGCGAAGGCGACUCACUGGCCCAAUACUGACGCUGAGGCGCGAAAGCGUGGGGAGCAAACAGGAUUAGAUACCCGAGUAGUCC
rnacentral:rRNA from 1 species